UACGUAGGGUGCAAGCGUUGUCCGGAAUUAUUGGGCGUAAAGAGCUCGUAGGCGGUCUGUCGCGUCGGCUGUGAAAACUGGGGGGCUCAACCCCCCAGCCUGCAGUGGGUACGGGCAGACUAGAGUGCGGUAGGGGGAGAUUGGAAUUCCUGGUGUAGCGGUGGAAUGCGCAGAUAUCAGGAGGGAACACCGAUGGCGAAGGCAGAUCUCUGGGCCGUAACUGACGCUGAGGAGCGAAAAGCAUGGGGAGCGAACAGG
rnacentral:rRNA from 1 species